rnacentral:pre_miRNA from 11 species
UCCUCGUCGAGAUCCCUAUCCUCGCAGUGUCAAAGUGCUCAUAGUGCAGGUAGUUAAUGCACCCAAAUCUACUGUAAUGUGGGCACUUACAGUACUGCCGGAUCCAGAGCAUCCUAUUUGGCG